rnacentral:lncRNA from 1 species
AAUUAGUGUGCUCACCAAGGAUUGGGUCCUCGUGCCUACGUAUGCCCACUUGUUGAAGUGAGAAAUCAGAGCCCCGUAGUUCGUGGGUUUAAAAUGUUUGUGUGUUUUGUUGAUUUUAUUACCUUGAAGAAGGGUUUUCGAUUGUGUCGUCAUAAGGCUCAAACAAAAGGUUUGAAUGUGUUGAAUUGUUUUUAAGUUUUGAGAAAGGGGUUAUUGAUUUCGGAUUGCACUAAAGACUAUGGAUAAAGGUGAAUAC